rnacentral:sRNA from 1 species
AUCAAAUGAAGACCUCCUAACUUUAUUUGAUUAAACAGGCUGUGGAUAAUCUCCCCACCUGAAUCCUAAAACUUUUUCAUAAUAAUCUCCCUAAAAGAGCCGCCCAAUCAGGCGGCUUUUUU